GUGGGGAAUCUUCCGCAAUGGACGAAAGUCUGACGGAGCAACGCCGCGUGAACGAUGACGGCCUUCGGGUUGUAAAGUUCUGUUAUACGGGACGAAUGGUACGACGGCCAAUACCCGUCGUAAGUGACGGUACCGUAAGAGGAAGCCACGGCUAACUACGUGCCAGCAGCCGCGGUAAUACGUAGGUGGCAAGCGUUGUCCGGAAUUAUUGGGCGUAAAGGGCGCGCAGGCGGCGUCGUAAGUCGGUCUUGAAAGUGCGGGGCUUAACCCCGUGAGGGGACCGAAACUGCGAUGCUAGAGUAUCGGAGAGGAAAGCGGAAUUCCUAGUGUAGCGGUGAAAUGCGUAGAUAUUAGGAGGAACACCAGUGGCGAAAGCGGCUUUCUGGACGACAACUGACGCUGAGGCGCGAAAGCCAGGGGAGCAAACGGGAUUAGAUACCCUAGUAGUCC
rnacentral:rRNA from 1 species